UCGAGAAUUUUUCACAAUGGGCGCAAGCCUGAUGGAGCAACGCCGCGUGGGUGAUGAAGGUCUUCGGAUCGUAAAACCCUGUCGUCAGGGACGAAGGUCGCGAGUUUAAGAGAUGCGCGACUUGACGGUACCUGGAGAGGAAGCCCCGGCUAACUCUGUGCCAGCAGCCGCGGUAAUACAGAGGGGGCAAGCGUUAUUCGGAAUUAUUGGGCGUAAAGGGAGCGUAGGCGGUGUCUUAAGUGAGAUGUGUAAUCCCCGGGCUUAACUUGGGAACUGCAUCUCAGACUGGGGCGCUAGAGUACUGGAGAGGGUGGUGGAAUUCCACGUGUAGCGGUGAAAUGCGUAGAGAUGUGGAGGAACACCAGUGGCGAAGGCGGCCACCUGGACAGUGACUGACGCUGAGGCGCGAAAGUGUGGGGAGCAAACA
rnacentral:rRNA from 1 species